CCUUGGUUUUCAUCCCGAGCUCGAUAUGAAGUUUAGCGCUGCAAUGUAUCACUUUGUUCCUUGCUUGUAUUGGGGGAGACACGUUUAAUAUUCAGAAGAAGAAUGAAGCCAAUUGCAAGUAGCUUCUGGAAAUGGAGGAAUGGCAGAAAUCAGGACUACUCCCUUCCCAAGCCCAGCCUCUGGAACACAAGCCACCUGGCACUGGCCCUCCCUGGAUGGGAUCCAGGGAGCUCUGUUCUUCCGUUCAACAAAUAUAAAUGCCAACGACAUUCAGGACAGUUUGCUGAAUUCCAAAAUCUACAGUCAGGGUUCCUAUGCUCAAGAUACCUAACAUUCACCUUGGUGUUUGAAGAUUCCCCAAGAUGUGGGUUUGGGAAAUAGACGAAAGAAGAGGCCCACGAUCCCUGCGAUGGACCCAAACCAAAACCAAAUUAAUGAAACUUGAUCUGUAGAUGUGGGAUCUUUGUCUUUUAAUAUGUGAGCCUGUCCGAACACGUGUAAAUGAGGAUUAACAUGGAAUCAGAAGAAAACUUGGGAGUUCUCUAAUCGCCUAGUGGGUAAAGGCUCCUGCCUUUUCACUGCUGUGGCUCUGAUUGCUCCUGUGGCACAGGUUUGAGCCCUGGCCCAGAAACCUCCACAUGCUGUGGGUUCAGCAGAAGAGAAAAAUAAAUAAGAGCAACCCUGAACUUUGCAAUUCUCAUUAAAAAAAAAAA
rnacentral:lncRNA from 1 species